GACGAACGCUGGCGGCGUGCUUAACACAUGCAAGUCGAACGAUGAAGCCUUAGCUUGCUUUGGUGGUUUAGUGGCGAACGGGUGAGUAACACGUGAGCAACGUGCCCAGGACUCUGGAAUAACCUCGGGAAACCGUGGCUAAUACCGGAUAGGUGCCGAGGCCGCAUGGUCUUCGGUUGGAAAGUUUUUGCGGUUCUGGAUCGGCUCGCGGCAUAUCAGCUUGUUGGUGGGGUAAUGGCCUACCAAGGCGACGACGGGUAGCCGGCCUGAGAGGGUGACCGGCCACACUGGGACUGAGACACGGCCCAGACUCCUACGGGAGGCAGCAGUGGGGAAUAUUGCACAAUGGGCGCAAGCCUGAUGCAGCAACGCCGCGUGCGGGAUGACGGCCUUCGGGUUGUAAACCUCUUUUAGUAGGGAAGAAGCGCAAGUGACGGUAACUGCAGAAGAAGCACCGGCUAACUACGUG
rnacentral:rRNA from 1 species